rnacentral:rRNA from 1 species
UACCGGCGGCUCGAGUGGUGGCCACUAUUACUGGGCUUAAAGCGUUCGUAGCUGGUUUGUUAAGUCUCUGGGGAAAUCUUCCGGCUUAACCGGAAGGCGUCUCAGGGAUACUGGCAGACUAGGGACCGGGAGAGGUGAGAGGUACUCCAGGGGUAGGAGUGAAAUCCUGUAAUCCUUGGGGGACCACCUGUGGCGAAGGCGUCUCACCAGAACGGCUCCGACAGUGAGGGACGAAAGCUGGGGGA